UAAAAGGGGCGGCGUGCUUAACACAUGCAAGUCGAACGAUGAACUGGAGCUUGCUCCAGGGAUUAGUGGCGAACGGGUGAGUAACACGUGAGUAACCUGCCCUUGACUCUGGGAUAAGCGCUGGAAACGGCGUCUAAUACCGGAUACGAGCUUCAGCCGCAUGGCUAGGAGUUGGAAAGAAUUUCGGUCAAGGAUGGACUCGCGGCCUAUCAGCUAGUUGGUGAGGUAAUGGCUCACCAAGGCGACGACGGGUAGCCGGCCUGAGAGGGUGACCGGCCACACUGGGACUGAGACACGGCCCAGACUCCUACGGGAGGCAGCAGUGGGGAAUAUUGCACAAUGGGCGCAAGCCUGAUGCAGCAACGCCGCGUGAGGGAUGACGGCCUUCGGGUUGUAAACCUCUUUUAGUAGGGAAGAAGCGAAAGUGACGGUACCUGCAGAAAAAGCACCGGCUAACUACGUGCCAGCAGCCGCGGUAAUACGUAGGGUGCAAGCGUUGUCCGGAAUUAUUGGGCGUAAAGAGCUCGUAGGCGGUUUGUCGCGUCUGCUGUGAAAUCUGGGGGCUCAACCCCCAGCCUGCAGUGGGUACGGGCAGACUAGAGUGCGGUAGGGGAGAUUGGAAUUCCUGGUGUAGCGGUGGAAUGCGCAGAUAUCAGGAGGAACACCGAUGGCGAAGGCAGAUCUCUGGGCCGUAACUGACGCUGAGGAGCGAAAGCAUGGGGAGCGAACAGGAUUAGAUACCCUGGUAGUCCAUGCCGUAAACGUUGGGAACUAGAUGUGGGGGCCAUUCCACGGUCUCCGUGUCGCAGCUAACGCAUUAAGUUCCCCGCCUGGGGAGUACGGCCGCAAGGCUAAAACUCAAAGGAAUUGACGGGGGCCCGCACAAGCGGCGGAGCAUGCGGAUUAUUUCGAUGCAACGCGAAGAACCUUACCAAGGCUUGACAUAUACCGGAAACGUCCAGAGAUGGUCGCCCCGCAAGGUCGGUAUACAGGUGGUGCAUGUUUGUCGUCAGCUCGUGUCGUGAGAUUUUGGGUUAAGUCCCGCAACGAGCGCAACCCUCGUUUUAUGUUGCCAGCACGUAAUUGUU
rnacentral:rRNA from 1 species